rnacentral:rRNA from 1 species
UGGCGAACGGGUGAGUAACGCGUGAGUAACCUGCCUUACACAAGGGGAUAGCCUUUGGAAACGAAGAAUAAUACCCUAUAAAACCAUAAAAGCACAUGCAAUUAUGGUCAAAGUAUUAGCGGUGUAAGAUGGACUUGCGUCUGAUUAGCUAGUUGGUGAGAUAAAAGCCCACCAAGGCAACGAUCAGUAGCCGGCUUGAGAGAGUGUACGGCCACAUUGGGACUGAGACACGGCCCAG